rnacentral:sRNA from 1 species
GUUUUCAUGAUACAAUAACAACAGCAGAAUAGUUGAAAGGCGGUUGGCAAAUCUGAUCGUGAAGGGGUGGUAGCCUAUGCGCUAUCGACAAACUCUAGAGCGAAAGGGGGUGCCGGUUUGCGCAUUACCGAUGUCUUAACGGUCGUUUUCGCAUUUGGCAGUUUUGUACUGUUACUUGUGGAUGUGGU